rnacentral:rRNA from 1 species
GAUCCUGGCUCAGAACAAACGCUGGCGGCGUGUCUUAAGCAUGCAAGUUGAGCGGCAAGGGGGAGCAAUCCCUCCUAGAGCAGCGGACUGGUGAGUAACGCGUGGGUAAUCUGCCUUGGGCAUGGGGAUAGCCACUAGAAAUAGUGGGUAAUACCGAAUACGUUCCACGAGGGGAGUGCUUGUGGAAGAAAGGGUGCUACGGCACUGGCCUGAGAUGAGCUCGCGUCCCAUUAGCUAGUUGGUGAGGUAAGGGCCCACCAAGGCGAUGAUGGGUAGCCGGCCUGAGAGGGUGUACGGCCACACUGGGACUGAGAUACGGCCCAGACUCCUACGGGAGGCAGCAGCUAAGAAUAUUCCGCAAUGGACGGAAGUCUGACGGAGCGACGCCGCGUGGAUGAAGAAGGCCGAAAGGUUGUAAAGUUCUUUUGCUGGGGAAGAAUAACCGCAGGAGGGAAUGCCUGUGGGAUGACAAGAACCGGCGAAUAAGCCCCGGCCAACUAC